rnacentral:rRNA from 1 species
UUGAACGCUGGCGGCAUGCCCUUACACAUGCAAGUCGAACGGUAACAGGUCUUCGGACGCUUGACGAGUGGCCGAACGGGUGAGUAAUACAUCGGAACGUGCCCCAGUCGUGGGGGAUAACUUACUCGAAAGAGUAGCUAAUACCGCAUACGGAUCUGAGGAUGAAAGCGGGGGACCUUCGGGCCUCGCGCGAUUGGAGCGGCCGAUGGCAGAUUAGGUAGUUGGUGGGAUAAAAGCUUACCAAGCCGACGAUCUGUAGCUGGUCUGAGAGGACGACCAGCCACACUGGGACUGGGACACGGCCCAGACUCCUACGGGAGGCAGCAGUGGGGAAUUUUGGACAAUGGGCGAAAGCCUGAUCCAGCAAUGCCGCGUGCAGGAUGAAGGCCUUCGGGUUGUAAACUGCUUUUGUACGGAACGAAAAAGCUUUCUCCCCUAAUACGAGAGGCCCCCAUGACGGUACCCGUAAGAA